UUAACGCGCAAUAUCAGGAGAUCUGUUCGUCAGAUUUGCGAAUGGAUCGCACCAGUGCGAUCAGCACGACAGAGACAUCAAAUUCACAAUUUUGUUUCAGCUAAUUUAGUCGCAGAUUUGCGACGAAACCCACCCUCUCCCCAAAUGGCAAAAUCAUACACAAUUACAUAAAAUGCACGAAUCACCAGAUUUCUCAAAAUUCGUGCGUCAAACCUUAAAUCCGUCAGUGCCAUUGGUUUCAGGAUAGUAGAACCAUUGAAAACGAGCUAUUGAAUCGCUAUGAACGGAGUCCGAUAUGCGCCGAAAGCCAACUCUACUCAUUGGCCUCUCCGGAAAUCCGGGUUUCACUAAGGGUGUGUUUGGUUCCACGUAAAACUGUGGAAAAAAAAAUUUCGGUGGAAAAAAAAUUUUCGGUAGGAAAAAAAUUUUACGUCGUUUGUGUUUGGUUUGUAAGAAAAGAAAAAUAGUUUUCCGUGAUGGUUGUUUGGUUGAAAGGAAAAGAAAAAAGUAAAAAACUAUUUAAUAUAUAUUUUCUCUUAUUAUAUAUUAUUAUAUAUCAUUAAUAUAUAAUAAUUAUCCUAAUAUAUUUAAUUAUUAUAAUUUAUAUUUAUAAACAAGAUAUAUUUAAAAUAUAUUAUAUAAUAAAUAUAUAAUAUAAUAUA
rnacentral:lncRNA from 1 species